rnacentral:rRNA from 1 species
UGGGCGUAAAGCGGGCGCAGACGGUUACUUAAGCAGGAUGUGAAAUCCCCGGGCUCAACCUGGGAACUGCGUUCUGAACUGGGUGACUAGAGUGUGUCAGAGGGAGGUAGAAUUCCACGUGUAGCAGUGAAAUGCGUAGAGAUGUGGAGGAAUACCGAUGGCGAAGGCAGCCUCCUGGGAUAACACUGACGUUCAUGCCCGAAAGCGUGGGUAGCAAACAGGAUUAGAUACCCUGGUAGUCCACGCCCUAAACGAUGUCGAUUAGCUGUUGGGCAGCUUGACUGCUUAGUAGCGAAGCUAACGCGUGAAAUCGACCGCCUGGGGAGUACGGUCGCAAGAUUAAAACUCAAAGGAAUUGACGGGGACCCGCACAAGCGGUGGAUGAUGUGGAUUAAUUCGAUGCAACGCGAAGAACCUUACCUGGUCUUGACAUGUACGGAACCCUCCAGAGACGGAGGGGUGCCUUCGGGAGCCGUAACACAGGUGCUGCAUGGCUGUCGUCAGCUCGUGUCGUGAG